AACGAACGCUGGCGGCGUGCCUAACACAUGCAAGUCGAACGGAUUGAAGGGGCUUGCUCCUUCAGUUAGUGGCGCACGGGUGAGUAACGCGUAGAUAAUCUGCCUGAUGAUCUGGGAUAACAGUUCGAAAGGACUGCUAAUACCGGAUAAGCCCACGUGGUCUUUGGACCGUGCGGGAAAAGGGGGGGACCUUCGGGCCCUCUGUCAUCAGAUGAGUCUGCGUACCAUUAGCUAGUUGGUAGGGUAAUGGCCUACCAAGGCUACGAUGGUUAGCUGGCUUGAGAGAAUGAUCAGCCACACUGGAACUGAGACACGGUCCAGACUCCUACGGGAGGCAGCAGUGGGGAAUUUUGCGCAAUGGGCGAAAGCCUGACGCAGCAACGCCGCGUGAGUGAUGAAGGCUUUCGGGUCGUAAAGCUCUGUCGAGGGGAAAGAAGUGUAUUGUGGUUAAUACCCGCGAUACUUGACGGUACCCCUAAAGGAAGCACCGGCUAACUCCGUGCCAGCAGCCGCCGUAAAAC
rnacentral:rRNA from 1 species